GGCACACACCAGCGCGCACACACUCGCGCGUGCGCGCCCCCCCCAACAACAUUUGUACCGUACUUUCAGGGUCUCUUACACACACGUGAAUCCUAGCCCUCUCAAGCAAGGACAGACACGCCCCUGCUUUCCCUCCCCCAAUUCCCAGAAUAGAAUUUAGCCCUGGGUCCUGGAUUGCUAGUGCUAAAUAGACCAAUGAGGAGAAUUUGAGAUCUGGGGAGGUGACCCCUUGCCUGAAUGGGGGAGGGGGCACUCUCCACUCACCGCCUGAGUCCCUGGAACGAGGAGGGCCAGGACAUCCUGGAUUUCUUCAGGCCGGGCCGGUGGCCAGUCUCCACGGCGUAGGAGGUGCGGUCCAUGGCACGGCAGUACAGGGGAGCAUCAAAACGAAUUCUGUGCAGAAACUGGCACUGGCAAAAUCUCAGAGAUGAGAGGAAAUGUGGGGCACUGGAAAUUCAGAAAACGUCAAGUAAUUUUAUGAAUCUGUAAGAAGGACAGGUAGCAGUAUCACAAUUCACCCUUACAAUCUGAAGUAAACAAGACUGCAAAGAGGCUUCCUAUAUUGAGAGAAGACAAGUUUCUUAAUCUAUCCUCAAGAAAUACACGUUCCCUCCAAAAAAGAGAAUCUGGAUCAGUACCUGGGGCAUACUCACAAACUAACUUGAAUUUUAACUGAGAUGCUGGGAAACAAGGCUGCACUUGGUGAAGGAAGAUGCAUAUCAUCAAUAAACUAAUAACAUACUGUGAUUAAUGUUUAUCACAGAGUAGUCUACCAAUAUCAAAAACACCUGGGCAUAUUACCCUGAUGACCUAUGAAG